rnacentral:lncRNA from 1 species
GUUUUGAUGACAAACAAAACCGGAAGUGGUCCUUUUACCAGUUCUGACAGCCGGUGUCGCAACACUUCUGUGUAUAACAGAAAAUAAUCUAGCAACAUCAGCCAAAAUGAUUAUUUAUAGGUGUAAAAUAUCAGGUAAAUUAAUGAAUUAUACACUUUUUGAUAUUUUUUGUAAAUUUGAUAAGCUGAAUUUUACGAUCAAAGUAGAAAACAGAAUCUUUUAUGUGAGUGUAUUAGUCAGCUGGUUUGUAAAGCUAUUUCAAACACUCCCUUUGACUAUCCCAGUUUAAAAACUGGUGUCUUUCAUUCAAUGAUUUGUUGUAAAACUUAUGUAGAUAAUAAAACAGAAAUCCCUGUAGAGAUCGCCUGUCAACAAUGGUCAACCACAGGGGCUUGUUACAAUUGCCGGGUUUACUAUCCAUACGAACCCCUAAAAAAACACCUUGUGUUUUUUUAGGGGUUCGUAUGGAUAGUAAACCCGGCAAUUGUAACAAGCCCCUGUGGGUCAACUUGGUUCUAACAGUGAUACAAUUUUACUUUGAACAAAUUAUUAUAACCGAAAGGAAUCUGUGACGUACCCAUCCAUAUUCAUAAGUGGGAAAUACAGAUACAGAUUAUUAAAGAAAAGGGUAGAACAAUAUCAUAUGUAUCUUGGUACAUUAGAUUUUCUGUUUACUGACUUCAGGAGAUUUGGUUCAAUCAGUGAUAUUGUUUGGCUCAAAUAACAGCCGAAAUUCGGCCUUUUCCCCUAGAGAAAAUUCCCAAUUACUGAAAAAAAUGGCUUAAAAUUCCUCCCAAAAAGUUUUACAUUUUCCCCAAACAGUGAUGGCAUUGGUUAUAGGUUACAAGAGCGCAAUUAUUUGUUGACAUUUUACCGGCAAGUUUUUUACCCCAAGAUGGUACUCAGAAUAGAAUCCUAUACGGCUUCGAUUGGUUGAUACAGGAUUGGAAUUACAUUUAAUCAAAAGCUUAUCCAAUUAGGUUUAAAAAUUGCCGAAAAUCAUAUUCACAUUUUUCGAAGUAUAGAAAAUAUCUUCAAUUUCUGCACGUCGGAGCCAUUAAAAAUAUGCCUUUUUCAUUAAGCGAAAAAAGUAGACGAUUUUUUUCAACUGCAUUUUAAAGUCAAUUUGAGCGCAUGACCCUAUAUUUUUUUUUAGUUGUAAUGCAACACCGGCAUUUGUACUAACAGGAACUGCCAUCCGAUUUUCCCUAGUUUGUGUAGUCUUCGAGAAAAAAAAUACGGAACACUAGUGGUACCCUAUGGAAAAUGCAUUACGAAUAAUUGCGCUCUUGUAACCAGUAAUGUUUGUAAAUAUCGUAUUCAUGUUAUCAUUUUGAUAUUAGAAAGCACUUUUGAGAUCCGGUUUUCUGAUCAGAAUCAUCAAUGGUGUUUGUAACACAUGUAGUUUUCAAUGCAUUGUAAGUACCAUCAUUGCUUCUGUUUCUUUUCCCUCUCCGAAAGUAUCUUUCAGGUUGAAAAUGUCUGACAACCAAAAUAUACAUGAAAAAACAGUGCAAAAAGACAGCAAAGGUCAGGAAAAAAUCGGAGAUGUGUUCAGAAUAAAAAUAUACAAUUUCCCAAUUUCAAUAAAAAAUAUGCAUUUUUCCCAAUAAAAAACGGUAGAGGUAGUUUUGAAAAAAGACAACAAUAUCACUGGUUCAAUACUCUUAAUUUAAUCCCUUGAUAGUGAUUUUAAGUUGUUGCUGUACAUAUGUAACACAUCUCUGGGAAAGUGUUGCAAUCUUCAUCGCCUUACAUUCUUGUAUUUACCCCUAGUCCAAAUAAUUAUGACGUCUUGAAAGGCUAUUAUAAUUUUUUUCUUUGACACCUUACUUUGACGUCAUAAUGUAAGACUGGAUAAUUGUUAGUCCAAAUAAUUAUGACAUCUUGAAAGGCUAUUAUAAUUUUUUCUUUGACUCCUUACUUCGACGUCAUAAUGCUGAGCCGCCAUUUUCGUUGACUUUGAGAGCAUAUUUUCAUCUCAACUUUGAGACCCAAUUUAGCAUCAAAUUUUCAUUGAAGGCUAAAAAAAUUGCAUAUAUAAAAUUCUUACUUUAUGUGUUUGUUUGUGCAAAAUAUUUCCAAUUAAUCCCUACAGAAAUAAUAAUAUAAAUAACAAUUCCAUCUGAGGCGGGAACAUGUCGACUGCAUUUUUUAAAACGUUUAUCUGGUUUCUUUUUAGGAGAUUGUAAAAUAAUUUUUACACCAAACUCGGUAAAAUUUAGACAGACCCGAAUUUCCGGAACCUUUGUUUUACAUUAUUCGAAAUCAGGUCCGUCAAGUACUGAGUUUGGUCAAAAAUAUAUUUUAUACUCCUAAAAUUAAGCAUCUUAAGGAGAAAUCAGCUAAACGUUUUAAUAAAGCAAUAAAUUCCCUCUCAAAGUCCAACUGAACAUAUGAGUUUGGCGUUAUGACGUCGAAGUAAGGCGUCAAAGAAAAAAAAAUAGCCUUUCAAGACGUCAUAAUUAUUUGGACUAGAUAAUUGUAAGAAGCAAGAAUGUUCAGUUAAGUAAGAUCUACAAACACAUCACAUCACCAAAACACAAUUUUGUCAUGAAUCUACAUGUAUCUGUGUCUUUGUUUAAUAUGCACAUAUACCAAGGUGAGCAACACAAGCUCUUAAGAGCCUCUAGUUAACUUUUAAAGUAAUUCUGUAUUAUCGUUGCAGCAGUACUCGAGUUAUUUGCGAUGAAAUAAUAAUUGCUGUUUUACGUCUUAUUUAGUACUUCUUCAAAAAGGGGGAUGCUGAUUGCGCAAGUCAAAAUAAAAGCACGUGUUCGACUUUUUAAACUGUUUUCUUUGGAUUAAUAAUUCAUUUAUUUAAUAUAAAUUAUCAUAAGCAUUUGUGGAAACUAAGUUGAAUAAUUUGACAAAUGAAUCGUCUAUCUACAGAUAGUAUUCCCCUGUAUGGUUUGUUGAUCUACCUGUACAAGCUCAGGUAGAAGUGAUUAGCGAUCUUAAUCCGGAUAUCCCUCAGGCGUUAGAACUGUAUACGUAUUGGAUUAUAAUAUAAAAAAGCCUAAGGGUUAUGCAAUUGCAUUUGAUUAUAAUUGCUAAAAAAAUGGAGUCGGGGCUAUAAAAAUGAUAACAAUUUUGAACGAUGGCGGAAGACAAUUUAACGAUGGCGGGGCACCAUUGUUAACCAGCCAUGGAGAUCCCUGCGUGUUCUCAUUUCUCAUAUUAUCCCUCACCAUAAAACUAACAGAAAUUGAAGACGCCUGCAUUGUACAUGUAUAUGUAAUAAGUUGUGUAAGUUUUUUGUUGAAACUAAAAUACGGUUUAAAUGAUAACUAAAUCAAGUAAUAAACAAUUGCAAAGUCCCAGUUUGAUCUUGCCAGUCAAAGAUGUUUAAUGUGAAAAUAUGAUUUAAAAUUUGUCUCUUCAAAAUUACUUGAGAAAUUAUAUUACUGAAUUACUUUUUUUCAGGAGAUGAAUUGUUCAGUGAUGCUUUUGAACCAAUGAUUGUGAAAGAAGACUUCUUCUAUGAAAUUGAGGGAAAGGUAAUUAUUAUUUACAUUAUCAUCCUUUUCUUCAUCUAUAUCACCCUGCUCAAUUGCUUUGUUAUUCUAGUACCAAGUCUUUGAGGUGUGACGUUAUUCUUGUACCAAGG